GGGAAUUGGAUUUCGUUUCUGGUGGCGAUUCGAAGGAGAUGACUUAGGUGAAGUAAGAAGGAAGCAUGCAUCUUUAUUUCUCGGAUUAAUUCACUGGGUUCUGUAUUGGUCUAGUGGGGUGAAAAAGCAACUGUAUGUAUUGGGUUUUACCGAUGCAGGAGUAUGGCAGAGAGGUGAAUUGGAAAAUGAAGCUUGAGCAGAGGGAAUGCAAGAACAACGAGCAGAUGAAGGAGUGAGGUUUCGGAGGAGCAGCUUAUGGCGCGG
rnacentral:misc_RNA from 1 species